rnacentral:rRNA from 1 species
UACGAAGGGUGCAAACGUUGCUCGGAAUCACUGGGCGUAAAGCGCUCGUAGGCGGACUCUUAAGUCGGUGGUGAAAUCCUGGAGCUCAACUCCAGAACUGCCUUCGAUACUGGGAGUCUCGAGUCCGAGAGAGGUGAGUGGAACUGCGAGUGUAGAGGUGAAAUUCGUAGAUAUUCGCAAGAACACCAGUGGCGAAGGCGGCUCACUGGCUCGGUACUGACGCUGAGGUGCGAAAGCGUGGGGAGCAAACAGG